GACGGAGGAUGCAAGCGUUAUCCGGAAUGAUUGGGCGUAAAGCGUCCGCAGGUGGCAGUUCAAGUCUGCUGUCAAGGACCGGGGCUUAACUUCGGAAAGGCAGUGGAAACUGAACAGCUAGAGUAUGGUAGGGGCAGAGGGAAUUCCUGGUGUAGUGGUGAAAUGCGUAGAUAUCCGGAGGAACACCAGUGGCGAAAGCGGCCACCUGGACUGUACCUGACGCUCAAACGCGAAAGCUAGGGGAGCGAACGGG
rnacentral:rRNA from 1 species